UGGGAAUUUCAUACACAUUCUGGAUUUUGAGAUAAAACCGUUAAGGUUUGACCCGUUUCGGCUAAUUUAUGUAAACUUGUUACAUAAACCGAACCGUACGCGUAAUAAGCGUGACGGGUAUUCAUGUCUAUAUACAGGUUUCCUAAGUUAAUUAUGCCUCAAAUAUGUUGUGACAUCAGUAAGAUGUCUUUCAUUAUGCCCGAAACGAAUUAAAUCACAAACUAUGCCCCGUAGGGGUAGUUUGGUCAUUUUAAAGGUUGUAAAAGGGUUUAAGUGUUUAACUGAGUUACAGGUCUGAUGUAAUCAGUAAACAUACUCAAAUUAAUGAGUUAUAACAGUAGGAUAAAGUACACAUGUGAAAUUUAUUAAUUAUAACCAAACUAUGCCCUGUAGGGGUAUUUUG
rnacentral:lncRNA from 1 species